rnacentral:tRNA from 1 species
AUUUGAAGAGGUUGUAAACGAUGGGGCUAUAGCUCAGCUGGGAGAGCGCCUGCUUUGCACGCAGGAGGUCUGCGGUUCGAUCCCGCAUAGCUCCACCAUCUUUACUGCGAACACAAGAAAACUUCAGAGUGAACCUGAAAAGGUGCACUG